rnacentral:rRNA from 1 species
UACGUAUGGAGCAAGCGUUAUCCGGAAUUACUGGGUGUAAAGGGAGCGUAGACGGAUGUGCAAGUCUGAUGUGAAAGGCGGGGGCCCAACCCCCGGACUGCUCUGGAAACUAUAUGACUGGAGUGCAGGAGAGGUGAGCGGAAUUCCUAGUGUAGCGGUGAAAUGCGUAGAUAUUAGGAGGAACACCAGUGGCGAAGGCGGCUCACUGGACUGUAACUGACGUUGAGGCUCGAAAGCGUGGGGAGCAAACAGG